UGAACGCUGAGAAAUCCCGCUGCAGGUUACCGCUUCGCACGCUCUCCAAACGGACCCACCACCCUCUUCUCCAUCUUCGCCUUCUCUUUCUCUUUGUUCCUACCUAAAUCUCUUCCCUUCAAUUCCAUAUCAAAACAACAAUUACUCAAAAAUUAAUUUUUACCAAUUUUCUGAAAUCCUAAUGUUGUCGGAAUCUGUUCUCUGCCUCUUGACCGAGGACCUUCUCAUUCGCCUCCUCGAGAAGCUCGGGCCGGAUCGGAAAC
rnacentral:lncRNA from 1 species